AGAGCUGGAAAAGAGAGAGGGUCCAGAUGAAAUCAGAGAAGGAGGCAAAAGCAGGAGUCAAAACCGUAUCGCAUCACGUUAUUAGCACGGUGAGGACAGAAGGCAACUCCCGGAAGUCGGAAGUCUACACUGAUUGGGCCUUCUCAAAGAGAAGGAAGUGGAUCUCACAUCAAAGUAAGCAAUGGGAAAAGCCUGAUGUCAAACUCCGUGCUCUUGCAACAACUGGACAGGAACAGAGUAACAUCCCCACAGUCAAUGGCAGACUGUCCAGAAAGACGCCCAAGCCAUAACUGACUACAUCAGAAAGAUCUAGAAGAUACCAAAAAAAAGAUUGCUUAAGAGAAUAUCGUUCAUGGAACCCUGUGGAAGAGGACACAGAAAGAUUGUAAGAGCCCAAGGGAGGGAUGUCUCCAACAGGACUGAUGUGUAUAUGAGCUCACAGAGACUGAUGGCACUCACUAGAGCUACACGGGUUCAAAAUGGACAAAAUCCAGCACAGAGAAUGGGAGGUGGGCAGAGUCCCACCUGUAACUCAAAAGAAAAUUUCUAACCUGAGUUUGGUCAAAUGUCUGGAUCCAGUGUUCAAAGAAUGCAGAAGACAGAGGACCAUGAUGGACUGGCUUACAAACAAAGCUACAUGAGAGACACUCAAAGUGAUGACCCAGGUUCUUCAGCUGAUUCAUUGUGGAGACAAUAAACAUUUGGUCCAGACUAAACUAUAGAGUGUAAAGAUUGAAAUAUAAAGUAUAAGGCAGAAAUAUGGAUGAUGAGGUGAUACAAAACCAUAAAGAGAACGUGACUGUAAGCCAACGAGUGGUCAAGUCUAGGCUUAUGUUGAACAUCUGACCCCUGGCUUCGGAUCUUGCCACCAUGCCUUACUCUACCAUCAUGGACUCCAAACCUCUGUAGCCAUAAGCCCAAGUAAACUCUUCCCCAACUAGCCUUGAUAUGGUGUUUUAUCACACCAAUAGAAAAGUAACAGAUAAAAUGGGCAAUGACCAUGAUGUGUUCCUAACCGGUAUGGUGAAAGACGGUGAAGAAAUGAAAUCAGAUGGAGGUUUAAGGCUGAGGUAGAGAUGAGGAAGACACGCUAUGAAACAAAACCAGCAUCUUCUUGACAGUUCUGGUGUGCUAUUUCAGUAAAUGGAGAAGUAAGACUGAGCGCGGCGAUGGUGACAACGAUGAUGAAGGAGAUGAUGCUGAUGCAGAAGAUGAUGCUGAUGCUGGUGAUGACAGUCAUUGGGAUGUACCUAGCAUUGACCAUGGGGCAGACGCCAUGCUCAGCGUUUCCUCUGCAUCAUUACAUAAUGUAAUAUAUCUCCUCACAGCGGCUCAGGGAGAUAAGCAUUAUAUUCAUCUGAAAGUUUAAAAUGCUAGGACAGGGGAUGUAGGGUGCCCUGUGGCACAGCACCCGCCUAGCAUGUGCAGAUGUGUGAGGUCCUUGGGUUUGAUCCCCAGCAUCACAAGGACCAACCAAUCAACCCAACAAGUGAACGGCAGCUCAGCGAUUUGUCUAAAACUGCACAGAUAGUAAAUGAUGAAGUCCA